GACGAACGCUGGCGGCGUGCUUAACACAUGCAAGUCGUACGGUAAGGCCCUUUCGGGGGUACACGAGUGGCGAACGGGUGAGUAACACGUGAGUAACCUGCCCACAACUUUGGGAUAACGCUAGGAAACUGGUGCUAAUACUGGAUAUGUGCCCCUGCUGCAUGGUGGGGGUUGGAAAGCUCCGGCGGUUGUGGAUGGACUCGCGGCCUAUCAGCUUGUUGGUGGGGUAGUGGCCUACCAAGGCGGCUACGGGUAGCCGGCCUGAGAGGGUGACCGGCCACAUUGGGACUGAGAUACGGCCCAGACUCCUACGGGAGGCAGCAGUGGGGAAUAUUGCACAAUAGGCGCAAGCCUGAUGCAGCAACGCCGCGUGCGGGAUGACGGCCUUCGGGUUGUAAACCGCUUUCAGCAGGGACGAAGCUUUUUGUGACGGUACCUGCAGAAGAAGCACCGGCUAACUACGUG
rnacentral:rRNA from 1 species